rnacentral:rRNA from 1 species
CCCCUAGACGUUCUGGGCUGCACGCGCGCUACAAUAAUACGCACAGCGAGUAUCACCGAGCUCGAAAGGGCAAGGUAAACAAUAGAAAAGGUACUGUAAUGGUUAUAGAUCCUUGUAAUUAUUGAUCUUCAACGAGGAAUUCCUAGUAAGUAUGUGUCAUCAUCACGCGCUGAAUACGUCCCUGCCCUUUGUACACACCGCCCGUCGCUCCUACCGAUUGAGUGGUCCGGUGAGGCUUUGGGAUCUGAGCGGAAAGAGCGUUUCGCUGUUUCUGCUCGGAAAACUCAGUCGAACCUUAUCAUUUAGAGGAAGGAGAAGUCGUAACA